CCUGCUUGGGUGGGAGUUCUAGUUAUCUGCAUUUUACCAAUCCCCUAAACACCACUGGUCUAAGUGAUGCAGAGAAGAAUGGCAGCUGGUUUCAUGAAGGACUCUGAGUGUGGGAGUGCCAUAUCUAUGAAUGCACGGUGAGAAUUCUACUGAACUGAGGUGGCCUCAGGGAAGAAGAGAGAUGAGAAAGGGCCUUGAAAAUCCAUUUGAUGAGGUGGAUCUUGUGAAUCUCUGGUUAUUGGGGCCAUUCAAGGAAACAGCUCCCCCACCCCUGCUUUAAUGGCCAUACCUGGGAAGUGACUAUGUUUUAGCUCCAGCAGCAAGAAACACUUGGGCUAACAGGGCAUGCACCAUGAGUCAAAGCCACAAAACAGAGAGGAACCCAAAGUCUGUUAAUCAUCCGGAGUUUUAUAAGAGAGGCACUUGGGAUAAGGGGACAUUUAUGCCUUUUGCACUUGGCUUCAACUUGAUGACAUGCAGGCCUCAGUCAAGAACUUGGUUUCAAGUUGACAGGCUUGAUAAAAGUCCAGCCAAGUCUGUCUCAUAAAUGAGACAUCCAACAUCUGUCUUCAGAGAAGCCAGUAAAUUAUUAUUAUAUCACUGCUGAUAAGGCUGAGACUCUCUGAGGUUUCUCUCAAUAAAGAAAACGUGAAUAAUAA